rnacentral:ncRNA from 1 species
GAUUUCGGGGCGGGGUGCAAUUCCCCACCGGCGGUAUACGGCCGAUGUUUCCGGCCGCACAGCCCGCGAGCAGGCUUGUUUUACGACCUUGCAGAUUCGGUGAGAUUCCGAAGCCGACGGUACAGUCCGGAGGAGAGAAA